UGUGGUUCUUGGAUAAUGCACCCCGAAAUCAGGCUCCCUCCUCUCUGGUUCCGGAGUGCAUCACCUGAGAACCCCC
rfam:Myotis brandtii contig193213, whole genome shotgun sequence.